UCCUCCGUGGCGCAAUUGGCUAGCGCGUCUGACUGUUAUUCGCUCGUCUCGAGUGUACCGGCAUCAGGAGGUUGACAGUUCAAGCCUGUCCGGGGGAG
rfam:Microdochium bolleyi strain J235TASD1 unplaced genomic scaffold Micbo1qcscaffold_2, whole genome shotgun sequence.